CAUGUAUUGCCCAGCUUAUUCCACCUGCGAUACGCUAUAUUCUGCCCCACGGGGAAGGAUGAGAAGCUUCGACUAAGGUUCGACUCGAGCGAAGUGAGAGAACGUUGCCGCAGGCAACGGCCCGAAGGCGAGGCGCUUUAGCGCCGAGUAAUCCUUCCCCCACCACUG
rnacentral:sRNA from 2 species